ACAAUGCAGGAGUAAGUAUUGAAUAAAAAGUAUCAGCAAAUUUAAUAUACACAACUAAGAUAGCUAGAUGUGUCCCCAACAUGCAUAAUUCAUAAUCUGAAGUACAAAUUCAUAUUAUUAUGCAAUAGGAAAUUGUUAUUAGGCGAGAUCUUUAAGUGGAUACAUACACUCAGUUAUCUUCCCAGCCAUUUCUGAACAUAUUACUUUUCAUAGAUAUAUAUACAAUGUUAAAUAUAUCUACUGAACUUCAUUAAUGGAAAAUCUACAUGCAAUCAAAUAAAGCAAUUCAUUUUCAAUGUGCACUUAAAUUAUGGAAACCAAAAUCACAGGAGCUGAGAGGAAUCCUAAGAUAUAUAGAAAAAUCACCAUUUUUUUCAUUUAACUAGCAAUUCUCAAAUGAUACAAUAGUGCAAUAAAAGAAGGUUAAAAUUCAUAGGCCUUUUGAUAUUAAACAGGUACAUUUUCUCCUGCCAAAAUAAAUGACCUGCAGUUAAGUAAAUAAUGAGCCAAAGGGAAAAUAUAUUCAGUUUUAUAGAACCUUGAAAGGCUCCCUCAAGUCUCUAGGCUUAUUACGAUCUGUAUAAAAGCCCGCAAUUGUUUCCAAGUGCUUCCUUAUCAUAUGCGAUUUCUUUAAUUAACCAAAAUCAUCCGGGCCAUGAACUGUAAACAUUAACUAACAUAUGAUCCCAUAUGAAAUGCUUGCAAAAUGUUUUAUCGUUCAUUUGCAUUCCAUAAACUCCUGCCAUGUGCUUCUUUUUAAUCCAGGAAUCAACGUGGGCAUACGCACCUUCUAAAAUCUCACUGACAACUAGAUAUUAUCAAAUGUCAGCAGACCUGCCUGCUUACUGGAAGUUUUCCUUUUUUAGAAUUCGUCAAAAUUAGUUCGCUCUGGCAAAUUGUGGAUUAGCAAGCGGAGCGAUGGGAGUUGCACACAUUGCGUUCUGCAGCAGUGAGAAGAGGACAAUGCCAGGCCCAGGCCCUCAGCCCAAGCAGAGCAAAGAUUUGAUGGAAACAUCAUGCAACAUGAAAGUUCCUUUUUCAGUGAGCAAAGAAAGGUAAGUUGGGGCACACUAAAAAUAAGUGUGAUCCACAUUAUUUUUCCCCAGCUAACAUUUAUUAUAGUGCUUACUACAUGCCUGAAACAUUCCCAAACAGUUUUGAUGUAUUGUCAUUCAAUCUUCCUAAGAUCCUUAGGGUGUAGGCAUAAUUUUCAUUUUACGGUUUGAAAAGUGAGGUGAGCAGGGGUUCAGACCUUUCAGCUCCUAAGAAUUGGAGCUGGAUUUCCAUGUGGGCUCCAGAUCUCAGACUGCCUAAGGCCAGCAAAGCAUCAUCUUAUAUAGGUGGGUCCAGGACUGCAGCUGGGAAGGGACAGAGGAGCGAAGCUUUCACUCUGAGUUUCCUUCGUCAAUCAAAGAGAUAUAUACCUGGAAAGAUCCCUCCCCAAGUCUUUCUUGGGAGCUGUUCUUGAAAACAUAUUUCUAAGGUAAGAUGGUAUUUUAUAGUUUUUAAAAUCUAGGGAUAAUCUAGAUUUAGGAAGGAGUCAACAAAAUGACUAAAGCUUAAAACACAAGUAGUCAUGAAUAUAAAUAAAUUGUUUCUAAAUACUAAGGCUUUCAAAAAUAUCUUCAUAGGAUGGUGCCUGUCCAGUCUAAGCUGCUUUCUUCCCUGUCAUAUACUCCUGCGAACAGUAGCCUGCCUGGCAUCUUCCUGGAGGUACUGAGCACACCCAGAAGACCAUAAACUUUUUGAAAGGCCUCCUGCGCUGUAAACAUGAAUAGCAAUAGAUGCUGGGACGGAGAAGGUGUCACUCUAACAACCUAAAGAGGAAUAAACACUAAACUUUUUGCAAGCAAUUAAUAAUGACAAUCAUCAUAAAGCUGAAGAUAAACAUUGAAAAAAUACCAGGACUCCACCUUGACGAAGACUGUUCUAGCCUCUGUGACCCUCUCCUCUCUAGACAUUUAGAGUGAGUAUAACCUGCAGAAUAUGAUUAAGUAUUUAAUCAGUGCCUUUCCCCGUUUUCCUCCCCCAGCUGCUCCACACUAUUUACUGUUUUCUACGUAAUCACCUCUGACUAGAUUGUGACCUUCUUCUGCAUGGAAACUCAUGUUGUGACCACUAGCACUGAACACACACUAGGGGUCAGUAACUGCUGGCAGAAGGAUUAAUAGAAUGACUUCGAGCAUAUCAGCUUGGAUGCUGAGGAUAUAAAUAACCAUAAAACAUUGUCUUCGAAUGUGGUUAUUACUGUGACGUGGGAAUAACAGUAAUAUUGCCUCAACAUAGAAUAUUCUAGAAAAACAAAAUGUAAACUAUAUUGAGCUGGAAUAGCAGUCACAGACCUGUCGAAAAGUGCUGAGCCACUGGUGGAGCAGUCCACAAUUGGUAACAUUAAUGUCAAGAUUGCAAAAUUCAUUAUUGUCUUCGUCUUGCACAAACAUCUCAUACAGGAAAAACAGCUAUGGAUGAGGCAUAUUCAUUUACCAACUAGGUGUCUCUGAAGGUAGUUACAUCAAACUACUUAGUUUACAGAUAGUUAUAUCAAAGUAGGUAUGGGGCAUACUUACUACCAUGUUUAAAAUAAAGCCUGCUUAAGAAAAGGCAUAAGAACUAUGCAUUUAUUUGAAUGGUUAGAAAGUCCUAGAUUCUCUACUCUUUAUUCACUGGACCACCCAAAAGAACCAUAAAAUAGCAAUAGGGGAAUAUAUUCACAUAAUUACUAGAAUGCUUUUUUAAUUCUUGCCCUUGCAUAUCAACUGACAGAUAAGAUUAUUAUAAGACAUGAUACAUUAAUAAAUAACACCUAAUUAGUUUGAUAAUUUUUUGAUUAAGCCUUAAUUUUCCUUGCUUCUCAUGCAGCAAUUCAAAUUACUCUGUAUUAUUUGUUCCUUUUCAGGCUAUUUUAGAACAUGCUUUGAAUAGUCCCAGUAGGUUACCUGAGAAGGAAUUUAUUCUUGUCUGACAGCAGAUCCAUGCCAUUAACAGUGACAAGGCUAGAUCCAAGUGACACUUUAAUGAAAAUUCCCCCACAGCAAAGAUGUUCCUCUAGAAUCUGACACCACUUUCAAAAGGGUAGGAGACAAAAUUCUGAGAAUAUGAAAAAAAUGAAACCUUAUGCCUUCGUUUUGUUCUCUUUAAAAAGACUCAGAGAAAGUAAAGUCGGAUGAACAUCGUAUUACAAGGAGAGAAGUCUUCUUAUUUGCUAGACUUCUACCCAAACCUAACGCCCUUUACCACAAUGAAACUGGCUGAGAGAGCAACAUCAGUGGAAUCGCGGCCGCUCAGAAGUGCCUGGAUCUAUUUCUGUGUACAUUCCACCUAUUUAUAGUGACUAGACUGUUAAUGGAUUGAUUGAGACAAAUAUGAAAAUCUGAUACAUUAAUCUUGAACAGCUUCCACAGACUUCACGUAAUCAGAAGGCAACUCUCCUGGGGGCCUGCCAAGUCCAGGAACUAUGCACGCCCGUAAUUAAGUGUAGUCUCCAGCUCCUUUUUUUCUGUUACUUCUGUCUAAUUCUGUAUGCUGCCUGCAGUUUAUGGAUGUGCACAGCAAAACCAGCUUUGUUCAUUCAGAGCCUCCGUCUCUAGAGAUACAACCAAUAACUCCUGUAAGAAUCUUUAAGCAGGGCCGAUUUGCAAUGCUUAGAAACCUGUCAUCUUUUUAAACAACAAGAUUAUUUCUAGGAAUGAAUAAAGAGGGCUGCUCUGGGAUGAUCAUCAAUAAUUUUUUUCAUUGAGAUAAAUAUUAUACAUCAUGAAUUCAGUUCAGUAAACAUAUCAUGUAUCUGGCAAGGUAUGAGGCAAUAGGGAUUUGAAGGCAAAUGUUUCUUGAAGGUGUAUAUAAGGCAGUAAAGAAAGACUUGCUAGAGAGAGAACGAUAAUGAUAUAUGAUAAUUAAGUCAGGAAGAUAUAAGAAGUGCUUAGUAGAAAGCUGUAUUUUACAAUAUCUGGGCACCACUGCUACCAUUAUACACUUAAAUAAUACUUUUUGUAGUCAGGUAGUGCUCUAAAUGUAUGUGUGUGUGUGCAUGAAUUAAUCCAUACAUUAAUUCUAUAAAGUAAAGCUUGUUAUCUCAUUUUAAAGGAGAAAUAUGUAUCGUGCAUGUGUGUUCACUGCUGUAUCUACAGAAUCUAGCAUAGUUCCUAGAACUCAUCUAGAAGACGCUUAAACCAAACUCAUCAAUGCAUGUAAUGCAGGAUUUCUUCAUAUGACACUAUAAAUGAUGUAUUAUUACCCACAUUACAUAGAUAGUAGAAUCAAGGCUAGAUAACAUCAGAUGGCUAGAAGGGGCAAAAUUGGUCUGUAUGUUAUUUGUUCAAGUGGUUCUGAAAAACUUCCUUCCUCUCCCCAUCAAAAUUCUGAUUGUAACAAGCCUUAUAUGAAUGUUCAAUUAGUAAAGAAGGGCCAACACUCGGAGAGCUACGGACCCUAAGUGCGCUUUGACCAUCUGCUCAUGUAUUCUGCAGCAAUCCCAUUAUCAGCCUCAUUCAACAGACCAGGAAAUGGAGGCCUGAAGAGAUUGAUGAACCCUACCCAAGUCAUAUUCCAGGCAAAUGGCAGAGCCUACAUUUGAAGCCAUGCAGGCUGGCUCUGGAAUCUGUGAGCCUAACCACCUGUUCUCAUUGCCUGUAAUGUCCAUGCUUGGAUGGCUACCUCUGAAAAACAAAAAUAAAACAAUGCAAAACAACAAGAGAAAUUAACCAAAGAAGGAAAAGAAGCUAUUGCUCCAUUUUAGGUUAUGAACAGAUCUGGUUCUAGCACUUUCCUUACUACACUAUGCUUUUAGCAAAUAGUCACAGAUAUUUCACUGUUUCCAUUUACAUCCAGACCUCAUUUAAGUUUCUACCACUUGUGUGAACUUAAAUUGUCAGGAUAGUUUGUAGCAUUCUGAGUUGCAACAGUAAUUUCUUAAGUCACUUACACACAAUUCUCAUCACCACCUCCGUGGAAAAUGGCUUAGUAAAAUCUGCUCUUCUUUCCUUCAAAAUCAUAUUUUAGACUCAACAGCUUUAGCAUUAGUCCACAAAUUUCCUUGCAUUUCCAAUCCCUUAAGCAGGAUCCUGCCUAAUCACACUCUCUGAAAUGCUAGUUUAAUGUUAUUCUUCUACUAAAAAUCUUUUAAAGACUCUCUUUUACACCAAAUAUUAAUUCUGCCUUACUGACCAAGUGUCAGUAAUUUGUCACUACAAACUUAUCACUUGUUAAUCCUCAGUGUUUUCUAAUCUUAAUUUAUCCUUUUGCCAGUCUGAUAUCCUCAUUGUUGUACAAACACAUCAGUGUCGCAUGCAUGGCCACAUCCCCAUUCAUUUUCUCUUUCAUUCAUGUACAAAGCAAGCCCUUUGUACUCCUCAGCACGUGGUAAAAUAUUGUUCAUCUUUCAAGUUCUAGAUGCACAUUGUCUUCCCUGACACCAGGAAUCACAGACGUCUCUCUGAAACUUGUAACAUUUAGUGUCUGUAUUAUGCAAUCUGACUCUCAAGUUUAAACUUUUUUUAUUAAUUGUUAGUUCCUUUUUCUCUUUCAAAUAACCAUCUAUGCCGCUUGUUAAAGUUAGAGAUCAUCUUUUAGUAUUCUUAUAUCCUCUACUGUGCUCAGCCUGGGACUGCUGAGCACACAGAAGGUACUCAGUACUUGUACGCUGACUUAUUUUGCUCACUCCCCGGCAACCCCAUCUGCACGGCUGACCUCUCCCUGAAACUUCACACGUGGUUAUCUAACUGCCUACUUCAGAGUUUGCUGUGAGAAUUAAAUGAGCAAAGUGUGUGAAAGUCCCCAGUAUGAAGCUUGGUAUUUAUCAGGUGAUUAACAAAUGAUGUUUGGAUGGGAAUCUUCACAUAUUCCCCUCUUGCAACUGAAUACCAUCUGCGGCUUUAAGACUGGGUGAUGUGUUCAGCCUCCUACUUCUCCAGCCUGGCCUACUCCACUGAGUUUGGACCCACUCUCUUCCUUUACCCCCUAUUUAGAGUAUCACUUUGGUUUUUUGGGAUUGGUCAACAAUCUUUGAAUAAUCUUUCCUUUCCUCUCAUUUGAUAUCUGUAAUCAUAAAUCCCGUGAUUCUACCUCUGUGAGAGCUCUAAAAUCAUCUUUAUUCUAUCCAUCCCAUCUCCCAAGAUCAAGAUUUAGUUCCUCUCCUUGGACUUAUCCUAACUGGUCUUUCCAAUUCCAUUCUUCACAAAUGAUCUUGCAUAAUGUUUCCAUUUUUUUUUUUUUUUCUCUUUAUAGGUUCCCUGUGUGCCAACCAAAGUGAAUCACUUGCAUUUCCCCGUCUAUGUCUGGGAAGCAUGGAGAUUUGGUCUUAAUCCUGAAAGCUUUAUAGUUAGGCAGGCCUGGGUUUGAAUCCCCUGUCUGCACUGUGUAUGACCUGGAUAAGACACUUAAACUCCCUGUACCUCAAUUCUCUCUUGUAUAAAACGGGCAUGGUAAUGCAUUCCUCUUGAAGUUUUAUAAGGAUUAAAUAAGACUAUUUUAAAAGCCUAGCACAGAGUAAAUACUCAACAAGUGGUAGUCAAAAAAAACCAUUUCAAGAUAUUGUGAUUCUGUGCCUUAAUUAUUAUCCCUUCAGCCUCGUAGGUCUUUAUCCUUAAUUUCAUAGAACCUAUCCUACCAAUGCUCAAGACUCCUUUCAAUUUUGACUUCUUCCGUAAGAUCUUCUCUGAACUUUCACACUAGAAGCACUAUCUUUUUGCAGUAAACUUCCAUAAUAAAAGAAAAAGCAAAAAAAUGCAGGUGGAGGACGUG